AACGAACGCUGGCGGCAGGCCUAACACAUGCAAGUCGAACGCCCGUAGCAAUACGGGAGUGGCAGACGGGUGAGUAACGCGUGGGAACGUGCCCUUCGGUUCGGAAUAACUCAGGGAAACUUGAGCUAAUACCGGAUACGUCCGUAAGGAGAAAGAUUUAUCGCCGAAGGAUCGGCCCGCGUCGGAUUAGCUAGUUGGUGAGGUAACGGCCCACCAAGGCGACGAUCCGUAGCUGGUCUGAGAGGANGAUCAGCCACACUGGGACUGAGACACGGCCCAGACUCCUACGGGAGGCAGCAGUGGGGAAUAUUGGACAAUGGGCGCAAGCCUGAUCCAGCGAUGCCGCGUGUGUGAAGAAGGCCUGCGGGUUGUAAAGCACUUUCAGUAGGGAAGAAAAGCCGAGUGCUAAUAUCAUUCGGUCUUGACGUUACUUACAGAAGAAGCACCGGCUAACUCCGU
rnacentral:rRNA from 1 species